GAUGAACGCUGGCGGCGUGCCUAAUACAUGCAAGUCGAGCGAACGGACGAGAAGCUUGCUUCUCUGAUGUUAGCGGCGGACGGGUGAGUAACACGUGGAUAACCUACCUAUAAGACUGGGAUAACUUCGGGAAACCGUAGCUAAUACCGGAUAAUAUUUUGAACCGCAUGGUUCAAAAGUGAAAGACGGUCUUGCUGUCACUUAUAGAUGGAUCCGCGCUGCAUUAGCUAGUUGGUAAGGUAACGGCUUACCAAGGCAACGAUGCAUAGCCGACCUGAGAGGGUGAUCGGCCACACUGGAACUGAGACACGGUCCAGACUCCUACGGGAGGCAGCAGUAGGGAAUCUUCCGCAAUGGGCGAAAGCCUGACGGAGCAACGCCGCGUGAGUGAUGAAGGUCUUCGGAUCGUAAAACUCUGUUAUUAGGGAAGAACAUAUGUGUAAGUAACUGUGCACAUCUUGACGGUACCUAAUCAGUAAGCCACGGCUAACUACGUG
rnacentral:rRNA from 1 species